AUGCAUGUAUAAGUAUAAACGCUUUAAGCGUGAAACUGCGUACGGCUCAUUACAACAGCAAUAAUUUACUUGAUCUUGACAACCUACAUGGAUAACUGUGGUAAUUCUAGAGCUAAUACAUGCACCAAAGCUCCGACCCGCGAGGGGAGAGCGCAUUUAUUAGAACAAAACCAAGCGGCUUCGGCCGUCCAUUGUUGACUCAGAAUAACUAAGCUGAUCGUACGGUCUUGUACCGACGACGUGUCUUUCAAGUUUCUGCCUUAUCAACUUUCGAUGGUAGUGUAUCUGACUACCAUGGUGGUGACGGGUAACGGAGGAUAAGGGUUCGACUCCGGAGAAGGGGCCUGAGAAAUGGCCACUACGUCUAAGGAUGGCAGCAGGCGCGCAAAUUACCCACUCUCAAUGCGAGGAGGUAGUGACGAGAAAUAACGAGGCCGUUCUCUUUGAGGCCGGUCAUCGGAAUGGGUACAAUUUAAACCCUUUAACGAGUAUCUAUGAGAGGGCAAGUCUGGUGCCAGCAGCCGCGGUAAUUCCAGCUCUCAAAAUGCAUAGAAUUAUUGCUGCGGUUAAAAAGCUCGUAGUUGGAUCUGUGCCUGUGCUCUGGUCCACCUCGCGGUGCGCACUGGGUGUCACAGGCUUUCCUGCAGUGUUCAGCCCCGGCGCCUUCACCGGCACCGGUGUGUUGAUGCUGCAAGUUUACUUUGAACAAAUCGGAGUGCUCCAAACAGGCGUUUGCUUGAACGUUCGUGCAUGGAAUAAUAGAAGAGGAUUUCGGUUCAAUUUUAUUGGUUUUAUUGGCCGAGAUAAUGGUUAACAGAGACAAACGGGGGCAUUUGUAUUGCUGCGUGAG
rnacentral:rRNA from 1 species